rnacentral:rRNA from 1 species
GGCCGCGGGAAUUCGAUUGGAUCGCCCUUAGAGUUUGAUCAUGGCUCAGAUUGAACGCUGGCGGCAUGCCUUACACAUGCAAGUCGAACGGCAGCACGGACUUCGGUCUGGUGGCGAGUGGCGAACGGGUGAGUAAAGCAUCGGAACGUGCCCGAUCGUGGGGGAUAACGCAGCGAAAGCUGCGCUAAUACCGCAUAAGAUCUACGGAUGAAAGCGGGGGACUCGCAAGAGCCUCGCGCGAACGGAGCGGCCGAUGUCAGAUUAGGUAGUUGGUGGGGUAAAAGCCCACCAAGCCGACGAUCUGUAGCUGGUCUGAGAGGACGACCAGCCACACUGGGACUGAGACACGGCCCAGACUCCUACGGGAGGCAGCAGUGGGGAAUUUUGGACAAUGGGCGCAAGCCUGAUCCAGCCAUGCCGCGUGCAGGAAGAAGGCCUUCGGGUUGUAAACUGCUUUUGUACGGAACGAAAAAGCCCUGGUUAAUACCUAGGGCUGAUGACGGUACCGUAAGAAUAAGCACCGGCUAACUCCGUGCCAGC